CUGGCGGCGUGCCUAACACAUGCAAGUCGAGCGAAGCGCUUAAGUCAGAAUCUUCGGAGGAAGACUUUUGUGACUGAGCGGCGGACGGGUGAGUAACGCGUGGGUAACCUGCCUUACACAGGGGGAUAACAGUUAGAAAUGACUGCUAAUACCGCAUAAGACCACAGUACUGCAUGGUACAGUGGUAAAAACUGAGGUGGUGUAAGAUGGACCCGCGUCUGAUUAGGUAGUUGGUGGGGUAAUGGCCCACCAAGCCGACGAUCAGUAGCCGGCCUGAGAGGGUGGACGGCCACAUUGGGACUGAGACACGGCCCAGACUCCUACGGGAGGCAGCAGUGGGGAAUAUUGCACAAUGGGGGAAACCCUGACGCAGCGACGCCGCGUGAGCGAUGAAGUAUUUCGGUAUGUAAAGCUCUAUCAGCAGGGAAGAAAAUGACGGUACCUGACCAAGAAGCCCCGGCUAACUACGUGCCAGCAGCCGCGGUAAUACGUAGGGGGCAAGCGUUAUCCGGAUUUACUGGGUGUAAAGGGAGCGUAGACGGUGAUGCAAGUCAGAAGUGAAAGCCCGGGGCUCAACUCCGGGACUGCUUUUGAAACUGUGUAACUGGAGUGCAGGAGAGGUAAGCGGAAUUCCUGGUGUAGCGGUGAAAUGCGUAAAUAUCAGGAGGAAACCCAGUGGCGAAGGCGGCUUACUGGAAUGAAACUGACGUUGAGGCUCGAAAGCGUGGGGAGCAAACAGGAUUUAAUACCCUGGUAGUCCACGCCGUAAACCAAUGAAUAUUUAAGUGUCCGGGGGACAAAGUUCUUUCGGUGCCGCAGACAAACGCAGUAAAUAUCACACCUGGGGAGUACGGAUCGCAAGAAGGAAACUCAAAGGAAUUGACGGGGACCCGCACAAGCGGUGGAGCAAGUGGUUUAAUUGGAAGCAACGCGAAGAACCUUACCAGGUCUUGACAUCCCUAUGACCGGUCCGUAACGGGGCCUUUCCUUCGGGACAGAGGAGACAGGUGGUGCAUGGUUGUCGUCAGCUCGUGGUCGUGAGAUGUUGGGUUAAGUCCCGCAACGAGCGCAACCCUUACCUUCAGUAGCCAGCGAGUAGCGUCGGGCACUCUGGAGGGACUGCCAGGGACAACCUGGAGGAAGGUGGGGAUGACGUCAAAUCAUCAUGCCCCUUAUGAUUUGGGCUACACACGUGCUACAAUGGCGUAAACAAAGGGAAGCGACCAUGUGAAUGCGAGCAAAUCUCAAAAAUAACGUCUCAGUUCGGAUUGUAGUCUGCAACUCGACUACAUGAAGCUGGAAUCGCUAGUAAUCGCAAAUCAGAAUGUCGCGGUGAAUACGU
rnacentral:rRNA from 1 species